GAGGAGGAUAUAUAUUAUGAUCUCAAUUAAAAAAAAAAAAAAGAAGUAGCAAACCACGGCUCUGGCCUCACGGCCCUCCGGCUGUUGGUGUAGGCAGGUGCUGUGGGUGAAAGGCUUUCCAAGGACAUUCUGGAACUCGGAGCUGAAACCGUUUCUGCAAGGGGCCUCAGUGGCUGAAGGGUGGAUGGGCACUGUGCUGGUCUCCCAGGAGAGUGAAACAUUUUGAAAAGUGAUGAGAGAGGUUGAUCAAGAAGGAUCGACCCCUUCUUGACUCAGGAUAGGAUCCCACCCCAAGUGACAGUCCCAUGAGAAAGUCACAGGCUCUGUAGAAUGCCAGGGGCUCACUCUCCCAUGCUGCCAUUGCCACCUAGGAGCACUGUGUCCAGCCCUAGCAAGGUCCAGCAUUUGAAAUCUGAAGUGUGGCCAUCCACUGGUGUUUAUUGCUUUUGUGCCUCUGUAAAAGGCCAUCUGCAUUCCCAGAAACAACAAAGGGUGGAAUCUGAACUGAGGUAAAGACCAACAAAAGUUAGC
rnacentral:lncRNA from 1 species